rnacentral:lncRNA from 15 species
CGUGGAAUAUGGGGGCAAAAGGACAGGACAGACUCCCAGGGAAGGAAAGACUCCGCCUGCAGCGACUGCUUCACUCCGCACGGGCCAGCAUCCCUAUCUGGAUCACCUUUUGCUACGGGAGAGAAAGGGAGCAAGAAAGUGGCUGAGAAGAGGAUAAAGGGUCCUGUUACGCUCCUGUCUCCUCCUCUGAUCAACCAAUCAGGCGUGGGAAUAGUGCUGAGUCAGCUGCUGGGUAGCUGCUCACGUCCAAAUGCAGCGGGAGGAGGGGUUGGUGGUGGAAGAGGAGCCAGCCAGCCAGCCAGCCGGUGUCUGCAGUGGACUGCAGCAGCAUUAGCACCACUAACCCCUGUGACGAGGGGGCCUUACUGGGAGAGAGGGGGGCCUAACCACUGGCCUGAUCUCCCCUAAUGGACUUUAAUUUUACACCACUUCUGCAAUGCCCAUCACAAUCCCAUCCACCAUGACUGUCCGUGCUCAGUUUGAUAUAUACGUCCCACUUUUCCCUCUGCCACUAGUCAGCGGGUAAUUAGCAGGAAUAAAUACAGCCAGCCACAGAAGAUAAAGUUUACAGCCUGACCACAGGUCAACUUGUUUCAUUACUAUAGUGUGCCUUGCAUUAAGCUAAUUACCAACUGGCAAACAUCUUCAUCAGACAUGCACAGAGGCCUUCAUUAGGAUGGUUUGUCUAAAUCCGCUUCAUUUAAAUGCUGCAUUACAGAAGAUUAUUGCAGAUUUAAGUGGAUUUUCGUUAGUCCACAUGAAACAGAAAGCAGAAUGUUGUUCGUUUCCGUAGCUAGGGAGGGACUUAACUGUCAGACUGAAUGCAGCAUCCAGUGCCUAGUGAUAAAGGUGUGUUUUUGUAGUGACAAAGUUGUGUUUCUGAACAAGCAAUAAAGUUGUAUUGGUUGAAGUUGGUUGGUUCAUGCUUACAUAAGCACUGGUCACAUUUUGUUUUACAGGAAGAAAAAAUCAUUGGAUUUUGAUAUAAAAAUAUAAAGAAAUAUAUUUUUUUGUACUUUUUUUGGUAUACAUUGUGAAAUGGGUACAAUACGACGAGGAUGUCAUAAAAAAGCAUUUUGACUUAUAUAGUUAUUUUGCAACAAACUGUUGUCAGAAGUCACUCGUAGUGCGUUGACAUGACAGGAAGUGAUGCUCUCCCUCACUGUGCAGCCCUGGAUGGAGAGCUGUGGCCUGACAUCAGUCAGUCACUGAGAGCCACUUGUCCUGAUAAGGAAAGAGAGAGAGCUGAGAGGACUAGCUGAGACGCAAACAUGUUCAGCGAGAGAGGAGGCUGAGUGAGUUAUGGGAGUGGCGGCAUACAACGGGUUGUGUUGGCACAGCCCCGAUGUCAGGCCAUACAUCUGUAAAUGAAAAUAUCACAGUCACAAAGAGUGACAAAGUUCGCUGCAGGACUGGUUUCAAAGUGUCACUCCUCCUGUUGGGGAUACAUAGUGUUGGGCUGGCAGCUGCUCUGUAACACCACCUGUACUGUCUCCCUGGGGACGCCUCCCACCCUCACUGACCUUCCCACUGUGACUCCCUGACUGUCUUCACCACUACGUCUCUCCCUCUCUCUCCGCUGGCGUCCAGCUGUCCCUAGCCCUUACCCCCCCCCCCCCCCCUUCUCCAAUAUAAGGGCAGGAAUGCAGCGGACAGCACAGUCCCAGAAUAGAUAAGUAGCCAGCCUAUCUCCAGCCAUGCAGUCAGCCUGAUAGAGGGCACCUACAGUAGCAGCAAGAGUGCACACACAUGCAGCAGCCCUGACCCACAUACGGACCCCCUUCCCUAAGUUCCUGCCACUGCUAAACUUGCGAAUGCACAACACCUUUCACUUAUUGUAGUUUUGAUCUCGACUUACAGUUUAAUGUUGAAAGAGCGCUCGUCGGCAGAGCUUUCAGCAGACAUCUGAGCGAGGUUAAUGAUAAAACGGCGCGGGCGUAAUGAUUCUGUUUGAUGUUGGAUCUGAGUGGAGGUGUGAAGGAGGGUCACUCCGUUUGAUGAGCGUUUGGGCUCGUGGAUCACCGGAAUAAAGUGCAGACAGUACGGCCAAGGGAUUCUCUCCCUAAUCUACUGAAAAUCCCGCCAUGAUAAGAAUUUCACAUGUAGCGCUCUCUCCCCUGAAGUCGAUAUUCGCGCUUGAACACACACAGUAGCUCGCUGAGCAAUAUGCGCACACACUCGCCCAGUCUUAUGUGG